GUCCUAAAAAAAGUGCCGUCCGUCCACGGGUGAAGGAGACGUCACUUCCUGGCCAGGAUCGAAACGUCAGCUGAAACUGUUCCACCCCACGAUAGCACGAAGCGCGCGCAUGGACCCCCAUUGAAUCGAUGACACGUAGUGGAAGGUACUUGGGGAUGAAUGUACGGAUAAUCCAUUAGACGCCGUUGUAACCUAAAACCGGGCAAACAAGGGUGAUCUUUGGAUUAAACGUGGCGGACGGAUGGACCGUGGAUGAAACGAAACGUGGAAGAAAAAUUUGUAAUAAAGUACGUAGGUGAACAGGUGAGCAACAAUGGGAACUGAUAAACGUCAGAAACGGAGGAUUUCGAUAACCGACAAGACAAUUUGCAAAAUUUUCUUUCGUAUUAUGGAAGUUUAUGUGAAAUAUUUUCUGAAUAAUUAUUAUUGAAAUGUGAUAA